rnacentral:rRNA from 1 species
UCUACGGUGUGCAGCAGUGAGGAAUAUUGGUCAAUGGGCGGAAGCCUGAACCAGCCAAGUCGCGUGAGGGAAUAAGGCCCUACGGUUCGUAAACCUCUUUUGCCGGGGAGCCAGGGCGGGGACGUGUCCCGGCCCGGAGAGUACCCGGAGAAAAAGCAUCGGCUAACUCCGUGCCAGCAGCCGCGGUAAUACGGAGGAUUCGAGAGUUAUCCGGAUUUAUUGGGUUGAAAGGUUGCGUAGGCGGGCUUUUAAGUCAGCGGUAAAAAUUCGGGGCUCAAACCCGUCCGGCCGUUGAGACUGGGGGCCUUGAGUGGGCGAGAGGAAGGCGGAAUGCGUGGUGUAGCGGUGAAAUGCAUAGAUAUCACGCAGAACCCCGAUUGCGAAGGCAGCCUUCCGGCGCCCUACUGACGCUGAGGCACGAAAGUGCGGGGAUCGAACAGGAUUAGAUAUCCUUGUAGUC